rnacentral:rRNA from 1 species
AGAGUUUGAUCCUGGCUCAGGACGAACGCUGGCGGCGUGCCUAAUACAUGCAAGUAGAACGCUGAAGGAGGAGCUUGCUUUUCUGGAUGAGUUGCGAACGGGUGAGUAACGCGUAGGUAACCUGCCUGGUAGCGGGGGAUAACUAUUGGAAACGAUAGCUAAUACCGCAUAAGAGUAGAUGUUGCAUGACAUUUGCUUAAAAGGUGCACUUGCAUCACUACCAGAUGGACCUGCGUUGUAUUAGCUAGUUGGUGGGGUAACGGCUCACCAAGGCGACGAUACAUAGCCGACCUGAGAGGGUGAUCGGCCACACUGGGACUGAGACACGGCCCAGACUCCUACGGGAGGCAGCAGUAGGGAAUCUUCGGCAAUGGACGGAAGUCUGACCGAGCAACGCCGCGUGAGUGAAGAAGGUUUUCGGAUCGUAAAGCUCUGUUGUAAGAGAAGAACGAGUGUGAGAGUGGAAAGUUCACACUGUGACGGUAUCUUACCAGAAAGGGACGGCUAACUACGUGCCAGCAGCCGCGGUAAUACGUAGGUCCCGAGCGUUGUCCGGAUUUAUUGGGCGUAAAGCGAGCGCAGGCGGUUAGAUAAGUCUGAAGUUAAAGGCUGUGGCUUAACCAUAGUAGGCUUUGGAAACUGUUUAACUUGAGUGCAAGAGGGGAGAGUGGAAUUCCAUGUGUAGCGGUGAAAUGCGUAGAUAUAUGGAGGAACACCGGUGGCGAAAGCGGCUCUCUGGCUUGUAACUGACGCUGAGGCUCGAAAGCGUGGGGAGCAAACAGGAUUAGAUACCCUGGUAGUCCACGCUGUAAACGAUGAGUGCUAGGUGUUAGACCCUUUCCGGGGUUUAGUGCCGUAGCUAACGCAUUAAGCACUCCGCCUGGGGAGUACGACCGCAAGGUUGAAACUCAAAGGAAUUGACGGGGGCCCGCACAAGCGGUGGAGCAUGUGGUUUAAUUCGAAGCAACGCGAAGAACCUUACCAGGUCUUGACAUCCCUCUGACGACUCUAGAGAUAGAGUUUUCCUUCGGGACAGAGGUGACAGGUGGUGCAUGGUUGUCGUCAGCUCGUGUCGUGAGAUGUUGGGUUAAGUCCCGCAACGAGCGCAACCCCUAUUGUUAGUUGCCAUCAUUUAGUUGGGCACUCUAGCGAGACUGCCGGUAAUAAACCGGAGGAAGGUGGGGAUGACGUCAAAUCAUCAUGCCCCUUAUGACCUGGGCUACACACGUGCUACAAUGGCUGGUACAACGAGUCGCAAGCCGGUGACGGCAAGCUAAUCUCUUAAAGCCAGUCUCAGUUCGGAUUGUAGGCUGCAACUCGCCUACAUGAAGUCGGAAUCGCUAGUNGUUAUUAUUAUGGAUAAUGCAAGAUUCCAUAGAAUGGGUAAGUUAGAACUCUUGUGUGAAGAGUUUGGGUAUAAACUUUUACCUCUUCCUCCCUACUCACCUGAGUACAAUCCUAUUGAGAAAACAUGGGCUCAUAUCAAAAAGCACCUCAAAAAGGUAUUACCAAGUUGCAAUACCUUUUAUGAGGCUCUUUUGUCUUGUUCUUGUUUCAAUUGACUAUAGCAGAUUGAAAUAAGAUGAGAACAAAUCGAUUGGGAAAGUAAAAUUAAUUUCUAUAAAUGUUUUAGCAAUUGUUUCGUACUAUUUCAGAUUCAGUCUACUAUAUAUCAUAAUGGACAAAGGGCAAGCUGUCAAGAAAUUACAGUUAUUUUAGUAAAAAAAGAAGCAGAAAAAUUUCAUUUUCUACUCCUUUUCUAUAGGAUUUAUUUUUCUUUUUCAGAACUUUUAACUUCAGCUUUUUUGGCAGAUUUAAUCUGAAUGUUUCCCUUGCUAGUCAUAACUGCUUUGAGAUCUUUUUCGCUUGGAUUUUCAAGGUAGUAGUCAGUGAUUGUGUCCUCAAUAUAGUCUUGAAUAGUCCGACGAAGUGGGCGUGCUCCCAUUUUUGGAUCAUAACCU